rnacentral:rRNA from 1 species
UGGGGAAUCAUGGUCAAUGGGCGAAAGCCUGAACCUGCGACGCCGCGUGAGUGAUGAAGGUCGUAAGAUCGUAAAACUCUUUUCAGGGAUCUUAAAGCACAACCGUCAACAACGGCUGUGUGUGACUCUCCCUGGAAGAAGCCCCAGCCAACUACGUGCCAGCAGCUGCGGUAAUACGUAGGGGGCGAGCGUUAUUCGGAAUUACUGGGUGGAAAGGGUAUGUAGGCGGCCCUUCAAGUCGCGUGUCAAAGUCCAGUGCUCAACGCUGGGUGUGCACGCGAUACUGACGGG